UGGCUUGUGUAACGGGGGCAGCUGAAGGGAGCAGUCAGCGCUCCCUCCCGUCUCCCCGCAGCGGGAGCGCCCCGCGCCGCGCCGCGAGCAGCGGGUGGAAGGUGGACGGGCGGGCGCCUCUGAGGGGCUGUGAGAGCGCGGCGCGCCUGGCUCCCGCCUUCUCCCUCCGGCACCUCGGCCUGGCGGCUCCUGUCUGUGAGUGCGCGUCUCGUUUUGCAGCUGUACACCCGUGGCCCUGAGAGGAGCUGCCAAGCUUAACUGUCAAGAGAGAGGAGCAUGUUGCCAGCGUGAGUAUAGAAAAGCUGCCCCUGCCCGGGCAGGGCCGCACCGCCCGCCCCCGCGGAACCUGUUCUCCUCGUAGGUGCUUUUCCUUCGCAGGUAAUAGCAGUUCUCCUGGCCGAGCUGUCCCAGCAAAAACACCUGGGCCAGUGUCACUGUCAUCGCACUUGGGGCAAGUUUGUCUCUUGGUGCCAAAGCUGGAGUCUCAAAGCAUCCAAUUUAGAUCUAGUUAGAUCUAGUCCUCUGGCAGUGACUUGUGUGUCAUAGGACAAUUUGGUAAUCUCUUUGCUUUAAAGCAUCAGUACAUUGGUGUCUGGGGGGCAAAUGUGGAAAACUAUUUCAUGUGUGUUCUGAUCCUCUGGAAAAUAUGCAGCAGAAUCACAAAACAUUAUGAAGUUUAUUGUGUAUCAAAAUUUUGCUCUCUGUAUUGCUCAAAGUUGAAGGCCCUAUCUUGGUGGGUUUUGUUUAUGUUUUUGUUUUUUAAAUUUUAGAUACUUUGACAGUAGGUAAAUCUGAGAAGCUAAAAACACGUAAUAUCCUCAUCAAAUAAAAUUUCUUAUAUUCAAGUCAUUACAAAAAUGGAAGUCUAGAAAUUUUCUUUGAAGUACAAUUUUGCUGCCACUUUUUAUCUCUCUGUGCUGGGAUCAGGAGCAGUGUAGUGUUGUGACUUUUCUUUACAGAUCCUCUUCCCUCCAUAAGCUUAGGUUGGUCAUACCCUUCCACUGAAGUAUCUUUCAAAUAUAGCCCAACGUUGUGUACAUACAAUGUCCAUCUAUUUAGGCCACGAUGACCUUUGUUGUUUGCAUGACUUCUGUUCCGCUAAGUUUAUCUUCUGCCCUUAUCCCACUUUUUGAGGCUACCCAGUACCAUGUCCUGUGUUUCAUUCAUCUUUUAACUUGUCUUUACAUAAUUUCACAAAUGCCUCUCAUCUUCUAGGAAACUUGUCUCAUGCAUCCAGUCCUGUCACUGUUUAAUAUACUGUCUUCACUUUUCAGUGUUACUUUUUAUCAAAAAGCUUUGUUAGUGGAACUGAUAAAUGGACACUUGGUCCAAAACAUGAGGUUUUGUUAUUGAUCCAUUAUUUCAUCAGUUUCCAACAACACUCGUGGGUGGACAUAUUCAUGGUAAAAUCACCCACACUGAUCAAAUGCUUUUGUGACAGAAGUUCCUUCUUUGUUCUGCAGUUUGAUAUCUGCUGCAUUUCAAUACUUCACAUGUUGCGGUCACGUGAUGUUCUUGGCAUUUUUAGUAUGAGUCAACUGGAAGAGUUUUCCAAGGUAGCAGGUAAUUACAACAUUAGUUCUGAUGUAUCUCAAAUGCAAAAGCCAGAGCUUAGAAGAAAACAAAGCAAACUACCAAGACUGUCACCUGUAUUAAUAAUGGCAUGUGUAGUUUCUCUGAAGACGCAAGAUCAUAUUGAGAAUUGUACUUUUGAUAUGGUUAAUGGUAUAGUUCAAACUUCUCAUUAGCUAUGUAAGAAUGUUCAUAGAAAGAAAGCCAUUUCAACUUGAGACUAUGCUAUGGAAAACUGAAGUGUCUAGGAAUAGAAAAGCAUAUUUGGUAUUAAAGCCUCGAAUCUAGUAAUUGAAAUAAGGAGACCUCAUAACAGCAAUAUUAGGUUGUGGUCCUAUGUCUGAAGUGUUAAGCAGAAGUAUCCACCUAAGCACUUCCCAGCCCAGCUGGCUGCUUUCCGCACAGGGUGCCAUGUUCUCACUUAUGCUGGUUUGUGAGACCAGCUUAUGAAAUGACUUAGAAAAUUAACAUUGGAGGACAGAUAAAAGUCAGAAGCUUUUAAUUUUUAACCUGGAUCCACUCCCUGACAAUUUUUGCAAUGCAACUCCUCAAAUACUUGAUUGGGCAAAAUAGGUUGCACUUCAAUUUCACAGUAAAUGAAAUGUCUGCUUAAUAAAAAGCAGUGAUAAAAUUGCUGAAGAGUUUAGAUUCUGAAGUCAUGCUUCACUCAAUAUUGAUUUUAGCCUGUUGAGUUUUAGGGAGUAGUUCUAAGAUGGGAAUAUUAGAAACUUGUGUGGAAUAGUUUGUCCAACUGGUAACCAUGUGAAUACAUCUAUUUUAAAUGGAGUCUAGGUUAACAAAUGAGAUGAUGCUCUGAUUUGUUUUUUCUUAGAGCAGGAAGAACCUGUAUUAUUUGCUGUUGGCACUUGGCAUACAACAACCAGCUAGUUUCUGAGAACAACAUAUCUAAUAAUUAAAUGAAAACCAUGUUGUUUAUUGUAGUCUCAGUGUAACAUUAAUAGUAGGGAGAGCAAUUUACAAGUGUUGUGAAAGGUAGCAGAAGAAUGUAAUUAAUUUAUGUAAGUUGAUGAAAGCUGUAAGAUGCAAAUUGUGUAGUAUGCGUAAGUUAAGUUUGUAAGUAGUCUGUAUGGUGCUGGUGUCCAUUCUGUAGACUUGCACUUGCCUGAUAUUUAAGUUCACAAAAAUUCAGCAAGAUUGUUCACACUUGUUUGAUGUUACUGUGGUAUUUGAAAACUUACUUGUACUAACUAGUAGAGCAAGGACAGUUCCAGGGACUGAUAUGGUGUCUUCUGUCAAAUCUGAGUUUUCUCUUAGGUUUAUCCAGCCACUUUCAGUUUAUAGUUUUAGAAUCUGGAAUAGGUUGCAGGCAGGUCAAUGAGUACUCUAUUAAUGUAGGCAUCAGUGUUAAAUGGUAAGGUUUUUUCAGUUCUGCUGAAGUCCUGUGCCGGAGUAUUUAUUUCUUGCGUGAUUUUUAACAAGAGGAAAUGAUACAUCUGAAGUUAAGCUACAUUUAAUCUUGUAUCAGUGUAUGUAUUAAGUCUUGUAUAUUGUGAUGAAUAAAGAUAUGGAUUAUUCCAAAGACAACUUUGUUAAUACAACUAAUACCAACCAAAUGGAACCUUUUCAUGUUUAGUCGCUUCGUAUGACUUGAAACACUAGCGUGGGUAAAGUGAUGUGGAUAUGCUGUCUGCCACUCAGAAAGCACACCUCCACCUCCGUGAAAUAUAUGCCAAUUAUGCCAUGAGUUUGGUCUGCGGCGUGGGACAUUUAGGUUGAAACUGGAAUGGAUGUAAAUUUUCUUUGAUCUGCAGAACAGAGAGAGAGGAAGGGCUUCCACUUCUUGGUUCUUUCCUGUUCCUGCCCUUUUCCUACCCACCUCCUGCAGGGCCCCCAUAUGACUGGGAUAUUACAGGAACUUAAGAUUGGGAAGGUGGUUGGUCAUUCUGGGCAGGAAGUUAAAUUUGAGAAUAAUGUGGUGAGAUGGUAAAGGCUAUAUAGAAAAAAAAUACUUAAAGAGCUUAGAAUGUACUGUGUUGGCUUUUAAGUACAUUGAUGCCUGAAGACUUUCUGUGCCAUUAAUGCCUUACUUCUCUUCUCUGUGGGGACAGCAGUACUUACUAUCAUCUUCAUAAACUGACAUCGUAGCCCACAAGCACUUAAUUGCUACACACAAAUCUACUUCCUGCAUUUCCUUGAUUUCUAACCAUAUUUUUUUGUCCCACAAGCUUGUUUUUCGUGUGAUUGUCAUGUCUCCUGGAUAAAAACUUCAAUCUUCAUCUAAUUCUACUUAAUACCUCAUGCCUCUCCAAAAUACAAGACAGACAUUUAUUAUUUUUUAAUAAGCACAGCUUAUAAAUUUGCAAGUCCAGAUGAAAAUGGGAAGGUACACAGGAAUUGUCAUUAUUAUACCAGAGUCAGAAGUUAUCUGGUCUCCUAUUCUGUCUGUAUAUAUAAUCAUAUACCAUAAAAUAAACUGUAAACUCCAUACAUCUGCUUUCGUAGUGGAUCAAACACGUACACACCUAAUUCUAAAAGCAGGAUAUUUGACAUCCGUUCUAGUUUCUGUCAUCAUAAUAGUUAUUCGUAUUCUGCUGGUUCAGAAAAGUCACCUAAUAUUUCAGUUAAGAGCAAACCACUGAUUGAUGGCAAGGAUUCUGUUGUAUUUUAAAUACUACUUUCAUUUGCUUUUUUCCUGCAUCCGAGUGUCCUUUUAGCUGGUAUCUGUUUUUUUGACUGCUUUACGGAAAGAUGUGUUCACUCUGCUGUUCAUAGUGAUGUUUAGAAUGCUGAUAUUCCUAUCAUGAAUCACUAUCACUGGACAAUCUGUGUAAAAUAAAUGUAGAAUUAGGUUUUUCCUCCAAAAUGCGGUACUCCGCUUUUAUUAAGUGCCAGUUAGUAUACUGUGCUUCACUUGCCCAUCUUCUCUGGACUUAGUGAGGCAGGUAUAAAAAUGGUUCCUAUUCAGCAUGUUCAUUUUUUUCCUGAAGUGAAUCAGUUUGACCUGACAGCUUCUGGAGAUGCAAAAGCUAUGUUAUAUCACUACUAAACAUUUGUUUCUAACUUACCUCAAAUAUUGUAUUGUUUUAUGUUUUGUUAGAUGCAUAAAAUAGAAGACCAGAAGUAAUCCAUGUUAAUUUUCUAUCAUACUUGAAAUAAUGUUUGCAGGAAGAAAGUGUUUCUUUUUUCAUCAAAAAGUGAGAAAGAAGUUUUUAAAUGAAGCUUGAAUUGUUAUGGUUUAUUUCUAACACUGGUAAUGUAGAAAGGAUACUAAUGUAAUACAACAAGGAUUUUAAUA